GUCUACAGCCAUACCACCCUGAAUAUGCCUGUUCUCCUCUGAUCUGAGAAGCUAAGCAGGGUUGGGGUGAUUGGCAGUUGGAUGAGAGUCUGCCGCGGAACACCAGGUGUUACAGGCU
rnacentral:rRNA from 1 species